rnacentral:rRNA from 1 species
CCUACGGGAGGCAGCAGUAGGGAAUAUUGCACAAUGGGCGAAAGCCUGAUGCAGCAACGCCGCGCGCGGGAAGAAGGCCCUAGGGUUGUAAACCGCUUUCAGCAGGGAAGAAAAUGACGGUACCUGCAGAAGAAGGUGCGGCCAACUACGUGCCAGCAGCCGCGGUGACACGUAGGCACCAAGCGUUGUCCGGAUUUAUUGGGCGUAAAGAGCUCGUAGGCGGUUCAGUUAGUCGGGUGUGAAAACUCUGGGCUCAACCCAGAGAGGCCACUCGAUACUGCUGUGACUAGAGUGCGGUAGGGGAGCGGGGAAUUCCUAGUGUAGCGGUGAAAUGCGCAGAUAUUAGGAGGAACACCAGUGGCGAAGGCGCCGCUCUGGGCCGUAACUGACGCUGAGGAGCGAAAGCGUGGGUAGCAAACAGGAUUAGAUACCCUGGUAGUCCACGCCGUAAACGUUGGGCACUAGGUGUGGGUCUCAACCAACGAGAUCCGCGCCGUCGCUAACGCAUUAAGUGCCCCGCCUGGGGAGUACGGCCGCAAGGCUAAAACUCAAAGGAAUUGACGG